UACGGGGGGAGCAAGCGUUGUUCGGAUUUACUGGGCGUAAAGGGCGCGUAGGCGGUCGUGACAAGUCACUUGUGAAAUCUCCGAGCUUAACUCGGAAAGGUCAACUGAUACUGUGCGGCUAGAGUGCGGAAGGGGCAACUGGAAUUCUUGGUGUAGCGGUGAAAUGCGUAGAUAUCAAGAGGAACACCUGCGGCGAAGGCGGGUUGCUGGGCCGACACUGACGCUGAGGCGCGAAAGCCAGGGGAGCGAACGGG
rnacentral:rRNA from 1 species